rnacentral:tRNA from 1 species
GCUGUGGCUCAGCUGGUAGAGCGCUUGGCUAGCAUGUGUGAAGCACUGGGUUCGAUUCUCAGCACUGCA